UACAGAGGGUGCGAGCGUUAAUCGGAAUUACUGGGCGUAAAGAGCUCGUAGGUGGUUUGUCGCGUUGUUCGUGAAAACCUGAGGCUUAACCUUGGGCGUGCGGGCGAUACGGGCAGACUGGAGUACUGCAGGGGAGACUGGAAUUCCUGGUGUAGCGGUGGAAUGCGCAGAUAUCAGGAGGAACACCGGUGGCGAAGGCGGGUCUCUGGGCAGUAACUGACGCUGAGGAGCGAAAGCGUGGGGAGCGAACAGG
rnacentral:rRNA from 1 species